UACGAAGGGGGCUAGCGUUGUUCGGAUUAACUGGGCGUAAAGGGCGCGUAGGCGGGUCUUUAAGUCAGGGGUGAAAUCCCAAGGCUCAACCUUGGAACUGCCUUUGAUACUGGAGAUCUUGAGUCCGGGAGAGGUGAGUGGAACUGCGAGUGUAGAGGUGAAAUUCGUAGAUAUUCGCAAGAACACCAGUGGCGAAGGCGGCCUCACUGGCCCGGUACUGACGCUGAGGCGCGAAAGCGUGGGGAGCAAACAGG
rnacentral:rRNA from 1 species